UUUUUUUUUUUCUUUCUCUAUGUGACAUCUAGAGAAGCAUUAAAAAAAAUAAAUAAAUAAAAAUGCUGAACAAGAAAAACCAAACAACAGAAACUGAAACCACUGCAGGCACCAAGAACAAAACAAAAGUGAACACAGCAAAGAGACCGCGGCAGCACAAGGGUCAAGAGAAUGCACGUGUGAUCAUGACUGGCCAAUCAUCCACGGGUACGACAUCCAAGGAAAACGCUCCAAUCACAGCACCUCCACGAAACUUGACGGCAAGUGUCAUGCAACCGAUUCUUAGCCUUGUUACAUGACGCCAUCAUGUCACACUGUGAACUUUGAGUUGAUUUGAACUUACGGAUGGGGGACUUUUCUCCACUCUCAUGUGAUUACGUGAACUUUAUUCCUAGCUCAGCGCGAGACUGUGGUAGAUUUGACUGGCCCUGGUUGGGUUGUUGGAAUUUGGUUGAAUGACAAAAGAAGAAAAGAUUUAUAUAUAUAUAUUUAUAUAUGGAGAGAGAGAGAAAGAGAGAAA
rnacentral:lncRNA from 1 species